rnacentral:rRNA from 1 species
GGAGGGUGCGAGCGUUGUCCGGAAUCACUGGGCGUAAAGGGCGCGUAGGCGGCACAGUAAGUAGGUGGUGAAAUCUCACGGCUCAACCGUGAAACGGCCUCCUAAACUGCUGAGCUCGAGCACGGUAGAGGCAGAUGGAAUUCCCGGUGUAGCGGUGGAAUGCGUAGAUAUCGGGAAGAACACCAGUGGCGAAGGCGGUCUGCUGGGCCGUUGCUGACGCUGAGGCGCGACAGCGUGGGGGGAGCAAACAGGAUUAGAUACCCUGGUAGUCCACGCCGUAAACGAUGGGUACUAGGCGUCGGGGGGGAGCGACCCCUUCGGUGCCGUCGCUAACGCAGUAAGUACCCCGCCUGGGGAGUACGGCCGCAAGGCUG